rnacentral:rRNA from 1 species
GACCUUGAAAUACCACCCUUUAAUGUUUGAUGUUCUAACGUUGACCCGUAAUCCGGGUUGCGGACAGUGUCUGGUGGGUAGUUUGACUGGGGCGGUCUCCUCCUAAAGAGUAACGGAGGAGCACGAAGGUUGGCUAAUCCUGGUCGGACAUCAGGAGGUUAGUGCAAUGGCAUAAGCCAGCUUGACUGCGAGCGUGACGGCGCGAGCAGGUGCGAAAGCAGGUCAUAGUGAUCCGGUGGUUCUGAAUGGAAGGGCCAUCGCUCAACGGAUAAAAGGUACUCCGGGGAUAACAGGCUGAUACCGCCCAAGAGUUCAUAUCGACGGCGGUGUUUGGCACCUCGAUGUCGGCUCAUCACAUCCUGGGGCUGAAGUAGGUCCCAAGGGUAUGGCUGUUCGCCAUUUAAAGUGGUACGCGAGCUGGGUUUAGAACGUCGUGAGACAGUUCGGUCCCUAUCUGCCGUGGGCGCUGGAGAACUGAGGGGGGCUGCUCCUAGUACGAGAGGACCGGAGUGGACGCAUCACUGGUGUUCGGGUUGUCAUGCCAAUGGCACUGCCCGGUAGCUAAAUGCGGAAGAGAUAAGUGCUGAAAGCAUCUAAGCACGAAACUUGCCCCGAGAUGAGUUCUCCCUGACUCCUUGAGAGUCCUGAAGGAAC